rnacentral:rRNA from 1 species
UGCGUAGGUGGUCGGGUAAGUCUGAUGUGAAAUCUCCAAGCUCAACUUGGAAAUGGCAUUGGAUACUAUUCGGCUAGAGGGUUUGAGGGGGGACUGGAAUACUUGGUGUAGCAGUGAAAUGCGUAGAUAUCAAGUGGAACACCAGUGGCGAAGGCGAGUCCCUGGAAAACUCCUGACACUGAGGCACGAAAGGCUAGGGGAGGCAAACA